UUCAACUGCUUCAGUAACUACUGGUCAGGGAUACUGAUCUUGGUCUACGUGCAGCAGUAGAGGAACACUGGGAGAAUAGACUGUUAUUGGAAAGUGGCACAAAUGACACUGGUACAAGAGAUGUUGUUAUUUCUAGUUGAUUUUUCUUAAUUUUUGUAUUUUUGAAGAAUUUUGUGAUUUACUUUUAA